GAGAAGAACGUAGCGAAAUGCGAUACUUGGUGUGAAUUGCAGAAUCCCGUGAACCAUCGAGUCUUUGAACGCAAGUUGCGCCCGAAGCCACUAGGCCGAGGGCACGCCUGCCUGGGCGUCACACGCCGUUGCCCCCCCAUCUACUCCUUCGGGAUUGCGGGGGGGCGGAUGAUGGCCUCCCGUGCGCCUAGCCGCGCGGUUGGCAUAAAUACCAAGUCCUCGGCGACGCACGCCACGACAAUCGGUGGUUGCGAAACCUCGGUUGCCCGUCGUGUGCGUUCGUCGCGCAUCGAGGGCUCGAAAAAAUGCUCGGCUCCGGCUGGGCUUUCAACGCGACCCCAGGUCAGGCGGGGUUACCCGCUGAAUUUAAGCAUAUCAAUAAGCGGAGGA
rnacentral:misc_RNA from 1 species